UUUAACGGCCGCGGUAUUUUGACCGUGCAAAGGUAGCGCAAUCACUUGUCUUUUAAAUGAAGACCUGUAUGAAUGGCAUGACGAGGGCUUAACUGUCUCCUUUUUCCAGUCAAUGAAAUUGAUCUUCCCGUGCAGAAGCGGGAAUACAACCAUAAGACGAGAAGACCCUAUGGAGCUUUAAACAAAAACAGAUCUUGUUAAACAUAUCCAAACAAAGAAAUUAAACUAAAAGAACCCUGUUGUUNAUGUUUUUGGUUGGGGCGACCACGGGGAAACAAAUAACCCCCAUGUGGACUGAGAAAACAAUUCUCACAACAAAGGGCCACAGCUCUAAUUAACAGAACUUCUGACCUUNGAGAUCCGGCAAUGCCGAUCAACGGACCAAGUUACCCUAGGGAUAACAGCGCAAUCCUCUUUUAGAGUUCAUAUCGACAAGAGGGUUUACGACCUCGAUGUUGGAUCAGGACAUCCUAAUGGUGCAGCAGCUAUUAAGGG
rnacentral:rRNA from 1 species